AGCUUGCUCCCUGAUGUUAGCGGCGGACGGGUGAGUAACACGUGGGUAACCUGCCUGUAAGACUGGGAUAACUCCGGGAAACCGGGGCUAAUACCGGAUGGUUGUUUGAACCGCAUGGUUCAAACAUAAAAGGUGGCUUCGGCUACCACUUACAGAUGGACCCGCGGCGCAUUAGCUAGUUGGUGAGGUAACGGCUCACCAAGGCAACGAUGCGUAGCCGACCUGAGAGGGUGAUCGGCCACACUGGGACUGAGACACGGCCCAGACUCCUACGGGAGGCAGCAGUAGGGAAUCUUCCGCAAUG
rnacentral:rRNA from 1 species